ACAAUAAUUCAGAUGUCCCAAGCAACCUCAAUGCGAAUUUACUGCGAAUUCCAAUGCAAGUUUAUGCAAUUUUUGUGCAUAAAAAGUUGUAAUCAUUAAUUUGUACAAGAUUCGUGCAAAAUGUGUAUCAAUUUUUGUGCUACUAAUAAAUUAGCACAAGAAAUCCACUAAACUAUCACAACUUAAUAAGUAGCAAAUUAUUACAAAGGAACAAGUGAAUAUUUAGUGCGUAUUUGUUAGCACUAAAUUUUCAUGAGAUUUCUUGCACCAAAUUCAUGCAUAAUUCGUACGUGGGAAAUUGUACAAAAUCAAAAUGCAGUAAACAGGUGCCAGUAUAUUUACACGAAAUUCGUACCGAUUAUUCUGUAAUCAUUUACUACUAAAUUAGUAACAUUUCUCUAUUGGCGAUUAAAUAAACCCACCUCAAGUCAGUUAUUCUUUUUGCCAUGCCGUGACAUCAACUCCAUCAUUUCUUCUCCAUUUUUAAUUUCCAACGAAAAAAUUUAUUUAGAUAGAUACUUAGGGUCGAUCUUAUGUCGGACAAAAGUUCGUAUUCAUCAAGUUUGAAGUCGACAAAGGGCCAAGAUUGUGCCGUCUACGUGGAUUUCAAAAGAUUGGACGACUAAUGGCGUGUUAUAUGCCGGAAAAUACGAUUCAUACGUUGAGAACACAUAUGUAUAAGGAAUAAACCUAUCGACUCAUGUCGACAAACGGCCAGCCUAAAUUAUCAGCAGAAGAGCCUGAGGUGAAUAAGGAAAUAUUGUCCAGGAAUUCAUUUUAAUUUAGUCUUUCUCUAUACUCCGUAAGUACGAAUUCUGCAGAUUAAUUACGAUAAAUAUUUGUGUAUCCCAAUUUGCAAUUAUCUUUUAAUAAGUUAAGUAUUUGGAGAUAACAUUAUUGUAGAAAUACAGUAGAUGAAUUUGUAAUAAAUAAAUAAUAAUUGAACUAUGAGUAAUACGU